rnacentral:rRNA from 1 species
CAAGGAAUUUUCGUCAAUGGGGGCAACCCUGACGGAGCAACGCCGCGUGCAGGAGGACGCUUUUCGGAGUGUAAACUGCUUUUCUGUGGGACGAGGAUGGACGGUACCACAGGAAGAAGCCCCGGCUAACUACGUGCCAGCAGCCGCGGUAAUACGUAGGGGGCGAGCGUUGUCCGGAGUUACUGGGCGUAAAGGGCAUGUAGGCGGUGCGGCGCGUUUCGCGUGACAGCGCAGGGCUUCACUCUGCGAGGGUGCGAAAGACGGCAGCACUUGAGGGCCAGAGAGGGACACGGAAUUCCGGGUGGAGUGGUGAAAUGCGUAGAGAUCCGGAGGAACACCGAAGGCGAAGGCAGUGUCCUGGCUGGUAGCUGACGCUGAGAGGCGAAAGCCAGGGGAGCGAAC